rnacentral:rRNA from 1 species
AACGAACGCUGGCGGCAUGCCUAACACAUGCAAGUCGAACGCCUGUAGCAAUACAGGAGUGGCAGACGGGUGAGUAACACGUAGGAAUCUACCCAGUAGCUCGGAAUAACCGCGGGAAACUGCGGCUAAUACCGGAUACGCCCCACGGGGAAAGGAGCAAUCCACUAUUGGAGGAGCCUGCGUCCGAUUAGCUAGUUGGCGGGGUAACGGCCCACCAAGGCGACGAUCGGUAGCUGGUUUGAGAGAACGACCAGCCACACUGGGACUGAGACACGGCCCAGACUCCUACGGGAGGCAGCAGUGGGGAAUAUUGGACAAUGGGGGAAACCCGUGAUCCAGCAAUGCCGCGUGGGUGAUGAAGGCC